rnacentral:rRNA from 1 species
GACGAACGCUGGCGGCGUGCUUAACACAUGCAAGUCGAACGGAAAGGCCCUGCUUUUGUGGGGUGCUCGAGUGGCGAACGGGUGAGUAACACGUGAGUAACCUGCCCUUGACUUUGGGAUAACUUCAGGAAACUGGGGCUAAUACCGGAUAGGAGCUCCUGCUGCAUGGUGGGGUUUGGAAAGUUUCGGCGGUUGGGUAUGGACUCGCGGCUUAUCAGCUUGUUGGUGGGGUAGUGGCUUACCAAGGCGUUGACGGGUAGCCGGCCUGAGAGGGUGACCGGCCACAUUGGGACUGAGAUACGGCCCAGACUCCUACGGGAGGCAGCAGUGGGGAAUAUUGCACAAUGGGCGGAAGCCUGAUGCAGCAACGCCGCGUGCGGGAUGACGGCCUUCGGGUUGUAAACCGCUUUCGCCUGUGACGAAGCGUGAGUGACGGUAAUGGGUAAAGAAGCACCGGCUAACUACGUG